CCAGGUUUGGUUUUUGUCUAGAUCGCGCCAUAACAGCGGUUUUCACUGAUAUGUCUCUUGAGACUACUAUGAUAUCGCGGGGUGCGUCCGCAGGCGCUGUGGGGGCCUUCCUGACCCUGAAGGCUGACACUAGUGGUGGCCAUUCGUCUUCUGUCUGAAUUCCCAGUGCUUGCAGGACCUCAUUGGCAAACUUAAGUAGGACUUCCUGGCCUAUCGACUCUGGGGCCCCGCGGAUUCUGAG